CCUACGGGUGGCAGCAGUGGGGGAUAUUGCACAAUGGGGGAAACCCUGAUGCAGCGACGCCGCGUGGGUGAAGAAGCGCCUCGGCGCGUAAAGCCCUGUCAGCAGGGAAGAAAAUGACGGUACCUGAAGAAGAAGCCCCGGCUAACUACGUGCCAGCAGCCGCGGUAAUACGUAGGGGGCAAGCGUGAUCCGGAUUUACUGGGUGUAAAGGGGGCGCAGACGGCGGUGCAAGCCCUGAGUGAAAGCCCGGGGCCCAACCCCGGGACUGCUCGUGGAACUGCGUGGCUAGAGUGCAGGAGGGGGAGGCGGAAUUCCUGGUGUAGCGGUGAAAUGCGUAGAUAUCAGGAGGAACACCGGUGGCGAAGGCGGCCUGCUGGACUGCAACUGACGUUGAGGCACGAAAGCGUGGGGAGCAAACAGGAUUAGAUACCCUGGUAGUC
rnacentral:rRNA from 1 species